UCUCAAUUCCCUCAGUCGCACUCUCUCACAACUCUCGUCUCUUUCUUCCUUGCUCUCACAGACCCAUUUCUCGUGCAGGUGUACUGACGGAGGCUUCGGGGGACUUGAUAAUGCGGAGGCUCGGCAUGCUCAAAGACGUGUGGCUGGCAACGAGAUGUGAUGUGGUCGAUGCCGUGAGACUGUAAACGGGGUUGGGUUUGAAGCUUAGAGCUAGGUUGAAGUCGGGGGUUGGUUAAUUUGUAGAGAAGGGGUCGAGAAGAAAGGGAGAGAGGUACUUUAUAAUUGUGGUGCAGAUGAGUUGCAAAGCUGUAUUCUUCACUUCCGAAGUGAAUUCUUAUUUAGGCUCUUGCCUCCAAAAAAUGCUGCCAACGUUGGGGUAGAAAAUAUAUGUACUAGGCUUGUUAGGAGCAUGGCUUCAAGGGUUAUAAUAUUCUUUUUAGACAUGCUUCUCUUAUCAAACCCCUUUCAGAAUCAGGAAAGCUAAGGAUGUGGGCCAGAGGAGACAAGGAGUUUAGUCCUAGAUAUCCUCUUAUGCUUCAAUUAGGUUCAUCCUUGACAGAAAAUGCUCUUGCACCCCAAAAGCAGAAGCAUUGAUGGCUGGUAUAUCUGUAGAGUGCUAUUGUGGAAAGGAACAGCCAAUUUCAAGUUCAUAUAUUUAGGAAGAUUUUUUUGUUGAGAGUAGCAGAUAGAUGGGCUAGUUCUAUUGGCAGUUUUUGAGGUUUGUGGUUAAUUUUUACAAAUUAUUGAUACCCUAUCACCUAAGCGGUCAAUGUUUGUUGUGGAUGAAAGAAAGAGAAUCGUAUGCUAUGCUCACUAAAAAUUUAAAUUUUGUCUUUUUAUUUUUAAUUUCAUCGGCUGAGACUCUCUUCUCAUUUGUUGGGAUAUUGUCCCAAUUUGCAUAUAUUUACAUAUAGUAUAGCAAUAAAGGUUUUUAUGUUCAUUAUCUUAAAGUUUAUCUUCUUAUAAACUUGUAUUUCCUUUUACUUUACUAACAAAAUGGCAAACAAAAUAAUUGUUAAAAUCUUAUAAUUGCUACCUUCUUCAAUUUUGAAUAUUGGCACUUUUAGUUCAAACAAUUGAAUAGAAUAAGUUGUGAUUGUAAUCUUAUUUGAAUGUCAGACUAUUUGUAGUUGUUAUUUAUGGUACAAAAUGCAACUUCUUGGAGUGAAUAAUAAACUUCUUAUGUUUUAGUGU